GGAUAAUAGUUAACUAUAACAUUUGAUUUGCACUCAAAAGGUAUUGCCCAGCAAUUUAUCUCA
rnacentral:tRNA from 1 species